CAGCAGCCGCGGUAAAACGUAGGGGGCUAGCGUUGUUCGGAAUUACUGGGCGUAAAGCGUGCGUAGGCGGCUUCUUAAGUCGGAUGUGAAAUCCCUGAGCUUAACUUAGGAAUUGCAUUCGAUACUGGGAAGCUAGAGUAUGGGAGAGGAUGGUAGAAUUCCAGGUGUAGCGGUGAAAUGCGUAGAGAUCUGGAGGAAUACCGAUGGCGAAGGCAGCCAUCUGGCCUAAUACUGACGCUGAGGUACGAAAGCAUGGGGAGCAAACAGGAUUAGAUACCCCUGUAGUCCCUGUCUCUUAUAC
rnacentral:rRNA from 1 species